CUGAUCCCUCGGCUGAGGCUGGGUCAGAGGGCUAAGGGUGACUGACUGCCUAGUGCAUGGAUCUCAGCAGCACGGCGGCAGGCGAGGAUGCUAAUCCACAAGGUUCCUGAGUCCAACAUCCCUCCCUCCAAUGUGGGGCUCGAAUCCGCUAUUGCAACCAAGCCUGGGUUCUGCCCGCAGGGUGGCGCAAUGACAAGAGCCACCAGGUGACCCUGGUAACUCCCGCACCUAGGCCUCUGGAGCUCCUGGGUUCCUGAACUUCAAGCUGGGCCCCAUCCUUCACCCUAUCAGGGCCCUGGGUAGAGCUGACUCCCAACAGUAUACAGUGGGUCUUGGUACUUCCUCCUUGGCAUUCGACAGUUGGUGUUUUUGAAGUCAGAGCCAUCCUCACUAGGCUCCUUGGGGAUCACAAGUGGCUUUCCCUGGGUGGAAACCGACUCCAUGCAGCCUUCAGCAAAGGAUCCUACGGCUGUUGAUCCCCUCGGAAGUGAGACAUAAUAUCCUGGAGCAGAUGCUGAUGGGGACUCACUCUUGGGCCACCUGAUUUCUGUGUUCAUCUUCCCAGGCUCCACCUUUCAGAUCCCAUCCCUGGUGUCUGCAGUUACAACUUUACUAAUCAGAACUUUGUUUCCAGCUUCCGCUGAAAAGCAAAGGGUGACUUAGAAUAAAAAUGUAACAAAUGGCCCCAUAGCCCAAACCUUUUCUGCCAUGAUUUGCUGUUCCAGAUACCUAUAAGUGUCCAGGGCAAAUUAAACACAUCAAUA